GUUGCUUCUUUGAUAAUAGAGUGACCAGUUUAAUUUAUUAGUCACUUAUAAUGAGAAGCAUAUAUCAAAGAAAUUGCCAGUUUUAAACAGCAUAAUUCGCUCUUUAGCAUUGUGCUACCUGUCUCCUGGUAAAUUU